UUUCCCUCCUGAUAGCUGGAACACGUAAUGAAGCUGUUAUAUUCGGUAAAGCGAAUGAUUAGAGGAAUUGUGGGACGAAACAUGUUCAACCUCUUUUUCAAACUUUCAAUGAGUAUGACGUCUUGCUUGCUUGAAUGACACGUAAACAUUGAACGUGUACUCUACGUGAGCAUUUUUGGUAAGCGGAACUAGCGAGCUGUGGGAUGAAUUA
rnacentral:ncRNA from 1 species